CACCUAUUUUUGGAGAUGAUUUGGACUGUUUUUUUUUCAGUUGACUGAGCAUUGGGCAGAGCAGGAGGGACUGCCUUCAGCAACAUGGCUGUAGGAUACAACAAGGUUGAUGUUGAUGCUGCUAAUAAAUAUGGUGUUGUUGUCGGAAAGUCACCGGUAACUAAUUUAUUGGAUCAACGAAAUGUGAAAACUAUGCAAGAAUAAGUUUGUUGUUGUUGAUGAAUUAGGGAGUGCUGACAGAGACUACAGCAGAGUUAGCAGCUUCACUCUCUUUAGCUGCAGCCUGAAGAAUUGUGGAAGUUGAUGAAUUCAUGAAGGGUGGCUUGUAUGAUGGAUGGCUUCCUCGUCCUUCGUCUCUAUGUUGGGAACUUACUAAAAGACAAACUUUGGAGCAGGUCACAUUGGAUCUGCCUAUGCAAGAAUGAUGGUUGAAGGGUUCAAGAUGAACUUGAUCUACUUUGAUCUCUGCCAGUCCACUCGUCUGGAGAAGUUCGUUACUGCCUAUGGGGACUUCCUCAAGGGGCAUGGAGAGGUGAAUAAGGAGAGGAUGGUGAAGAUGAAGAAGGCAAAAUGCAAUGGUAAGGGAGAAAGCGGACACGUGUAUGGCUAGCACUAUGGGACGUUGAAGCGCUACCAUUUGAUAUGCAUAGCAAGGUUUCGCUGUUCUCGUCCACGUCCCCGGGAUCAUGCUCUGUAUUCAUAUAUUUUUUGCAUUUCAAAUUCAAAUGCACUGUAAAAAUAUUUAGUUUAAGUCAAUAUAAUGUCAUUUCCAUUUGGUUUA